AAACCAUGCUGUGGAAACUUCCGUAAGAGGUCAUUGAAUCACUCCCAUGUCUCAAACAAAGGAUUCAAGCUCCAUCUGAACAAACGAUGAUAUUUCAUUAUGAAGCUU